CCUACGGGAGGCUGCAGUGGGGAAUCUUGGGCAAUGGGCGCAAGCCUGACCCAGCAACGCCGCAUGAAGGAUGAAGGUUUUCGGAUUGUAAACUUCUGUCGCGAGGGACGAAGAUUGUCGGUACCUCGUAAGAACGCUCCGGCUAACUACGUGCCAGCAGCGGCGGUAUGCCGGAGGUCGGAGGCGUUGGCCGGAUUGACUGGGCGAAAGGGGAGUGUAGGUGGCUCAUUAAGUGAGAUGUAAAAACCACGGGCUCAACCUUUGGCCUGCAUGUGAAACUGUGUUACUUGAGUACUGUAGGGGUAGACGGAAUUCCUAGUGUAGCGGUGAAAUGCGUAGAUAUUAGAAGGAACACCAGUGGCGAAGGCGGGCUGCUGGACAGGAACUGACGCUAAGGCGCGAAAGCGUAGGGAGCAAACGGGAUUAGAUACCCGAGUAGUC
rnacentral:rRNA from 1 species